UACGUAGGCAGCAAGCGUUGUUCGGAAUUACUGGGCGUAAAGAGUGUGUAGGCGGUGCUCUAAGUUCGGUGUGAAAUCGCCCGGCUUAACUGGGCGGGGCCUUCCAGACGGCAUGACUUGAGCAGCGGAGGGGGACGUGGAAUUCCCGGUGUAGCGGUGAAAUGCGCAGAUAUCGGGAGGAACACCGGUGGCGAAGGCGGUUCUCUGGGCCUUACCUGACGCUGAGGAACGAAAGCGUGGGGAGCGAACAGG
rnacentral:rRNA from 1 species